rnacentral:rRNA from 1 species
GACGAACGCUGGCGGCGUGCCUAACACAUGCAAGUCGAACGGAAAGGCCCUGCUUUUGUGUGGUUCUCGAGUGGCGAACGGGUGUGUAACACGUGAGUAACCUGCCUUUGACUUUGGGACGUCUUCAGGAAACUGGGGCUAACACAGGAUAGGAGCUCCUGCUGCUGGGUGGGGGUCGGACCUUUUCGGCGGUUGGGGAUGGACGGGCGGCUUAUCAGCUUGUUGGUGGGGUAGUGGCUUACCAAGCCUUUGACGGGUAGUCGGCCUGAGAGGGUGAACGGGCACAAUGGGACUGCGGUAGGGACCAGACUGCAACGGUAGGCAGCAGUGGGAAAUAUUGCACAGUGGGGGGACGCGUGAUGAGGAGGCGCCGGGUGCGGGAUGACGGCCUUCGGGUUGUAAACCGCAUUCGCUUGUGACGAAGCGGGAGUGACGGUAAUGGGUAAAGAAGCACCGGCUAACUACGUG